UUGUUUACUCAACCGCAUUGAAAAGGUAUAAGUGAAUUAUUUCCACCUUAAAAGCGAGUCUUAUUAAAUAA
rfam:Clostridium sp. CAG:762 genomic scaffold, scf23